CAGUCGCCGCGGUAAUACAGAGGGUGCGAGCGUUAAUCGGAUUUACUGGGCGUAAAGCGUGCGUAGGCGGCUUUUUAAGUCGGAUGUGAAAUCCCUGAGCUUAACUUAGGAAUUGCAUUCGAUACUGGGAAGCUAGAGUAUGGGAGAGGAUGGUAGAAUUCCAGGUGUAGCGGUGAAAUGCGUAGAGAUCUGGAGGAAUACCGAUGGCGAAGGCAGCCAUCUGGCCUAAUACCGACGCUGAGGUACGAAAGCAUGGGGAGCAAACAGGAUUAGAUACCCGCGUAGUCCCUGUCUCUUAUAC
rnacentral:rRNA from 1 species